rnacentral:pre_miRNA from 1 species
GUCUCAAAAUUUUUGUCUUAGAUUUGUCUAAAUACGGAUGUAUCAAGUCACGUUUUAGUAUUAGGUACAUCUGUAUCUACACAAAUCUAAGACAAGAAUUUUGGGAC